rnacentral:rRNA from 1 species
GCAAGUCGAACGAUUAAAGCUCUCUUCGGAGAGUGCAUAAAGUGGCGCACGGGUGAGUAACACGUAAGUAAUCUACCUUCGAGUGGGGAAUAACAGUCGGAAACGGCUGCUAAUACCGCAUAAUGCAGCGGCAUCGCAAGAUGACAGUUGUUAAAGAUUUAUCGCUUGAGGAGGAGCUUGCGGCAGAUUAGCUAGUUGGUAAGGUAAUGGCUUACCAAGGCUACGAUCUGUAACCGGUCUUAGAGGACGGUCGGUCACACUGACACUGAAUAACGGGUCAGACUCCUACGGGAGGCAGCAGUCGGGAAUUUUGGGCAAUGGGGGAAACCCUGACCCAGCAACGCCGCGUGAAGGAUGAAGUAUUUCGGUAUGUAAACUUCGAAAGAAUAGGAAGAAUAAAUGACGGUACUAUUUAUAAGGUCCGGCUAACUACGUGCCAGCAGCCGCGGUAAUACGUAGGGACCAAGCGUUGUUCGGAUUUACUGGGCGUAAAGGGCGCGUAGGCGGCGUGACAAGUCACUUGUGAAAUCUCUGGGCUUAACCCAGAACGGCCAAGUGAAACUGUUGUGCUAGAGUGCAGAAGGGGCAAUCGGAAUUCUCGGUGUAGCGGUGAAAUGCGUAGAUAUCGAGAGGAACACCAGAGGUGAAGACGGGUUGCUGGGCUGACACUGACGCUGAGGCGCGAAAGCCAGGGGAGCAAACGGGAUAGAUACCCCGGUAGUCCUGG